UAUUUUUUUUUUUUUUUCAGGGAUCAGAGCUCUCAACAAGCUUCCCGGCCCCUGGCAAACCAGCUAAUCACAUGAGGGAGCCGAUUCAGAUUUAUCAGCCACAGAUACUGCUUGGCACCAGGAAUGCAGGUUGCCCAUGACGAGGAGACGGCCGGGCAGCGAAGAUGCUCCUGGACGCAUCCCGACGCGCGGAGGAAACCACCACCCACGGUCGGGGCCUUCCCUCAAGGGAGCCCCCUGCUCGGCCGCCGCCACCGCCCCCACGGCCCCUGCCCUCCGCGGCCCUGCGUCCACAAACAGGCUGGUGUUUGCGAGGUCGUGCCCGUUGUCGUCUGGGCUCCACGUAGACGGCACCCGACCGCCCUUCCCACACCCCCGGGCAAAUGAAAAACCUAUGACAACCGUCCAGGCGUGUAGCGGCUAAAAUACCAGACCCACGCUCCACAGUGACGGCAGCGUGACCAGGCCCCUCGAGCGUCUCUACCUGGCAGGCUCCCACGGCUCCCACGGCACGUCGACAAGGUCCCAUGGGUUCCUCAGCCCUGGAAUCCAGCCCUGCUCUGCAGCUCUCAGACCACCCCCUGCGCCCCCCGCCCUCCCACCGCUCCCCUCCCAUCCCCCCCCACCCCGUCCCAGGCACACAAACUGACCCUCAGGCCCGUGCAGGAUCCUCUGUAUGGGAUCCCCGUGUACUGGGCCAGGAAUUCUGCUCCCCCAUCUCCUCGAGGAGGGGGGGGCCCUGCUUACAGGUCUCCCCAAAGUCCACACUGCCCUCCUCAGUCCCAGCUCCUCGUCAUAAUCUGAAGUUGUUACUGAUUUGCUUGCAUUUGCUUGCCUCCUGUUCAUCUUCCCACUGGACACAGGCGGUGCACACACUCCCAGCCCCACGCACACACGCACACCCUGGUGCACGCACAGCCCGGCCCGGCCCACAGGGCUGCUCUUCAGCAUUCCUUGAAUGCCAGCCACUUUGUUCUAGGACUAGACGCCGCUUCAGCCUCCAGGCAGGACGUGCCCUCGCUGACCGCCUGGGCUCGCGUGGCUCGGGGGCUGCAGGGUAGUCCACGGGGGACGCGGGCAGCUGGAGCUCAGCGCCAUGGAGACCGGCUCCCUGCCAGCAGAGCGGUCAGCUGCCUGCCCACUCACAGGCUGUCAGCGUCUGGGCCCUGGCUGCCCGCCCACGGCCGGCCCAGGCCCAUCUGAGUCCUUGCUUGCUCGGCCAGAUGUCCAGUAGGCUUUGGACGGAGUUGUCCGACCUGGGGCAGGGCCCAGCGGCUGUCAGAGUCCCCCACGCACCCCCCCACCCAGGACAAGGUCACCACCUGCUAAGCUGGGGGCCGGGAUAGAAAGGCUGGACUCUCUGGCCAGCAGGCCCGGGGCCCACCGGCCGCCCAGAGCUGGGGUCCUCGGCCAGCACCAAGGGCUGUGCUGGGAUGGCCCCGCUGAACCACCCGCCAGCAUCCCUGAGGGCAGGCCCUGCAGUGCGCAGGAAAGCCCUCCCACUCCCACGGCCGAGAAGUACCGACCCCCGCACGUCAGUGGUGGUGCAGUUACACCUGGACUUGGGUUGCCAAGGUCUUCUCCUAAAAUGCAAAUGUUCCUGGUAAGUCAGCCCUCCGCGCUUUCCCAUGAAACUGCAAAUACAGGGAUUUUUCUCCCUAAAGCUCCUAACAAUACCCAAGCCAAGGGGUGAGCAUUCCCAUGGGAAAGGAAGCAGGAACCUCGGAUAGUGGGAAGGAGGGCAACUGUCCCCCUGCCGGGCGCCUUGGGCCCACCAGCACCCGCGGGAAGGGCCAGGCUCCCCCAGCGGCCCAGGUCAGGCGCGUCAGCAGCACGUGAUCAGAGCUGACCGCGGCCCUGCCCCUUCCCCGCUCAGGCUCUGGCUUGCUGACAACCACUUCCACCCCGUUCUAGAACAACGGAGUCUUGGCUGUGUUUCACGGUUUACGGGCUUCGUUUACACGCGCGGCUCUGGGCAGGCUCCGUCCCCCUGCCGAGCCUGGAAGUGGGGGAAUAAUAGCGCGGACACCCCAGGGCCGUUGGGACAGCGCAGGGGGCCCUGCGAGCCGUGAGCCAGCGCCUAGCAGGAAGCGCCUUACGUAACAGCACAGCAACAUCCGUGACUCGGCUGUGGGGCUCGCUCUUCGCGCUCUGCGUCCUCAACCCCAUGAGGAGCCUGCGCGCUGGGAGAGGCCAAGGCGGGGGCGGGGAGCACGGCAGCCAGCGCCCCAGGAGCGCCCCAGCCCCGCAGGGGAGCCCGCCCGGCCCUGCCCACUCGCAGACCUGGAGGUGAACCCGCCCUGGGCCCCUUCACCCCCGCCCUCCGCCUGUGUCCUCCGGAUCCCCCUUUCCCGGCAGCCGAGCCUUGGAAGCCGGGGCCCGCCCGCUCGACCCACCGCAUGGCCUACGGCAGCUGGCGGUCACCAGACCCCCGCAGGCCGGUCGGGCACUUGGGGCCGGCCCUCCCGCGGAGCCUGCGGGCGCCGAGCUCCCUUCCUGCCCAGGGCGCCCACCUCCACUUCACCCGGGACCCUCGGGAGACAGCCCAGAGAGGACGGCCCCACUGACCUCUCCACGCCCACCCACUCUGCCCACCCCUGCCUCGGGCCCCACUCAGCCCCCAGUCCGGGCCCAGCGUGCCGUGAUGAGGCCGACUGGGCCUCCGUGGGCAGUCACGGCGCAGGACUCCCAGCCCCUGAGCCCGCGUCUCAGUUCCUCUUGACUCGCGGUCGGCCCCGACCCUGACCCUCCUGCACGGCCUCCCCCGAUGACCCCACAGCGACACACCAGGAGCCGCAGGCCAAGCCAGCAAAGGAACCAGCACCCGCAUCUCUUACUGACACCAUUCUCUGCCCCCCACUGACUCACCCGGCAGGGUGGGGAGUGACCCGGAGACCAAACCCCUGACCCUCCAGCUGCCCCGGGACCGAGAAAGUGCGCAGCGCAGCCUGGACCCAGCCCGUGACAGGUGCCUCUCAGAGGCCGGGCUCGCGCUAGACAGCCGGCGGCAGGGCGGGUGAUUGUCCACACACUCACACUCCUGCACAUAUAUGCGUGCACAUGUGCUCUCUCCUGAGCCGGGGGCCCUCCGCGGGUCCACUGGGCGGGUGCACACGCGCCCACACACCUACAGGCCCUCGUAUACACACGGGCACAUGCAUGCAUUCACCACGCCGGCUCCCAAGCCCCGGGAACCACCCAGAUACACUCACGCAGGCAUGCGGGUCUAUACUGGGUGCACACCAGGGGCACACGCUUCGUGGCACGUCACUCGUGGUCCCACUGAGCCCCCACGGCUACUCACAACAACCAAUGCUCCCUUGUGGGAAACCCCGAAAUCCCGUUGCGGAGGCUCCGAAGCCACCGGCCAGGCACAGAACCGUCACUUCCAGGGCCACCCUGGGCCCCGGGGGAGGGUGACAAGAUGUCUUCCACUCUGCGGGGAGGGCGCCGGGAGCCCUGGACAGACAAGGGCAGGAGACGGAGCAGAUCUGGCCCACGCGGCAGGACCCCACAGGCUCGAGGACUCAUGAAUUUUUCAGAGGCACCCGAAGCGAAGACUGAAGCUGCCCUCAGGUCCUGGUGGGUCCUGCCCUAAAUUAUUCACAGCCCAGCAGAGUGGUAGCUCCCGGCCGGAGGCCAUUCGGGUGCCAGCUCCCCGAGCCUGGGUCUGAGCUGGCCCUGUGGCCGCCAGGCAGGGCACCUCUCUGGGCCCCCACGUUCUCCUCCACGGCCCAGGUGCGCGAAGCCUUUGGGAGCGCCCACCUGUGUCCCCAGCGUGGGCCUGCAGCCCCGAGGUUGGGCCUCCGCACCCAGGGGCACCGUCGAGCUGUGCCACCAUCACCCACCACAGCCCUGUCCGGCUCCCACAGGGCUCCCCAAGGUGACAUACUGCCCCCCAAGCCCAGUGGACCCUGCCUCCUACCCUGCACGGCAGCCCCUGCCUGAGUGGGAAAGGGCCACCCCCCACUGGACCAAGGACCACCCCCCAGGUCCCCCGUGCCCCAAGCUUGCACCUCCGUCUUACCCCUGCGGCCACUCAGAGCUGGGCAGCGGCAGAGGUAGGAGGGGGGUCAGCGGGCCGCACCGUGAGCGCUGUUUGGUGCGGCUCCUUUCACCACCUGCCUGUCCUUGACGCCUUGCCCCCUGCACUGCUGCUGAGAUCCGCCGCUCUGAGAGUUCAGUCCAGGAACCUCAGGUCCUAAGAACCUUCUAGAAGGCCCUGGAGGUCAAAGCUGUUUCCACAGUAAUACCAAGGUCACAUGAGGGGCUGUGCUGGUUCCCCGCAGCCCCCCCUGGGGUAGGUGCCCCCCCGUCCCGUCCACCCUGUGGGUGUGGGCAGCUCCGUGAACAGCCCGGGUUCACCCCCCCACCCGGCCCAGUGCUGGAUGCAGGGGGAACAGCCUGGGGAGGAGUGCUGCCCCCACGGGGGCCCAGAGCUGCUGCACCCCCACCAGGCUGAGGCCCCGGGUCCCCUGGCCUUCCCAUGGGCCCCACUCUGAGGUUGGCAUGCGGGGGGCGCGAGGCCCAGAACCCUGCUGGGCUUCAGAUCCGAGCGCCUGGACAUUCCUGGGCAUGCCCUCCUCACCUUCUCCCCGAAAGGAGGCCCAAAGCGCUGAUACUCUCCCCAGAAACCCCACGCUGCACCACGGGCAGGACCCUCGUCUGCCUCAGACUCUGGUGGGAACGAGCGAGUGCUCCCACCUCUGCCUCCACACCCUCCCGUGUGCCCUGGCAGAGUCCGUGCCCCUGGCGGGAUCUGUGACCCCAUCCCAGGAACACAGCCCCCUGGAGGGUCCUCAGCAGGGCCCUGCGUCUGGGUGGGGGAGCCAGAGCUGCCAAGAACGGGGACGGAGGGUGAGGGGCUCACUGUGGACCUUCCUCCCCAGUGGGGGCUUAUCUCACUCCUAUGCUGCCCCAGGCUGAGUUUUCUCCUAUGGGGGCCCAAUCCUAACUGGGCCAAGCCUGUAAGGACAACUUCCUGGGGCAGAAAGUAGGGACGCCAGGUCCCCCCUGGCAGUGACAGUAGCGGGGGGAAAGGGGGUGCACGAAGCACCUGGUCUCCUAAGGUAGGGUCGCAGACAAGGUAUAUUGUCAAGUUCAAAUCUCAAAGAACAAAUAUUUCUCAGUGUGAAUACUGGUGUGUUUAUAUUAAAAAACUAUCGACUGUUUAUC
rnacentral:lncRNA from 1 species